GUAACAGAAAUAAGAUUUGCCAGGUUUCCAGGAUGGUCACUCAUUCUGCUGCAAAUGACUGCAGCACAAGUACCAGAUGCACUGUCCAUCACGGCUUGCCAUAAAAAUCUGCCAAAGAUGCUGCUUUGCAGGAAGUUACACAUUCCUUUACGGCACACACACAGGAGUCAGGCGGGAAAAUCCCUGGAGUGAUAGACGCACUGAGCCCUCACAUACUGCUACAGUUGCAAGUGUCUCUCUAACCUCUGUGCCAUCUGCACACCAUGUACGUUUGACCUCCGUUGAAAAGCUCCGGGUAAACAAGUCAUCGCAAGCGUCCCCCCUUCACUUCCAAACAGCUUGUGUCCCAUCAGUACGCAUGUUUUGCCAGGACGGAUGACAGGAAAACAGUUUCAGUUUGUGUUCAUAAUAAGAAACAGAGUACAUGUGACCAGGUGUGCGUUAAUGACAUGCAUUGCUGAUUCUUACAAUCACACAGAGAUCCCAGCAGGCAUGUGCCAAAACCGCUCCACCUCAUCUUAUCUGUUUACUUCACUUAGUGUAGUAUAUGGCUGUAAGAAUAUGAAUGCUUCUGGUCUUCACUUCCUCCUUGAGCCCAGCAGGCAACAGCCCAAACAAAGUGACAAUAAGCCAUCUGUUGUACAAGAGUCGACUGCUGCACAGUCUCCAGUGCCUCCGGAGCUCCUUACUGGGGGACAUUAGCAGGGUUAAACAGUCCUGGAAAGCACAGGCAUAUGCUGCUUCUGCUCAACUGCACAGUCAAUGAAAGCUUGCUUGAAAUCCUUUUCUGUAAUGAUGUUAUGCUUUUGGUAUCCAUUUUUAAGGAAAUCAUCAUGUGAUGAUUAGGUUGGAAACAUGCAAUUUGAUUAAUAAAUGUCAAAGCGUAUGUUUCGGUAAUUGUUUUGUAGGAACCCUCAUCAAGUUUUUUCAUCUGUGUGACAGUUAUCAGCCUUUUUUACCCUUUUUAUGUCACCAAUCACCUUUAGCUAGAGCGUAUUGAAAAAAGCCAUUGAUCUUUAAAAUGCAGUGCUUUAAUAUGACAGUAACAGUUGUAGGUGAUGCAGGAAGUCAAAUUGUGGAGAUUGAUGAGGGUUUAUAGGUGAAUUAUAAUCCAUCUACCUGAGUGAUGUCUGUGCUGUUUUCCAUACCAGCAGGCCAACAAAUACAUAAAACCCACAAAGGUGACACUAGGAAUUGAUACUUAACAAUCCCUCUGAGCAACAAGCACUAGAAGCAGCUCUGACUGAGAGGAAAACUCCCCGGGAGAGACAGAGAGUGAGAGAGAAAUGGCAAAGCUGGGAAGGUUAAUGGGAAAGAAUGGACUGGAUUUGCCAAAGGUCACACAUACAGAGUCAGCACCUUGUUUAUGAUUAGAAGAGGUCUGAGCACAGCUUGUGUUUGAGCCACUUAAUAAAGCACUUUAAAUGACUAUUGAUUCAUGCUUCAGAAAGACAACUGUGAAUCUACUAUGAGGUUGUUACCUUUGUUUGCUUAAGAUCCAGCGUAUUUAAUCCUUAAUGAGAAGCUGUAAGGUAAAGUGUGGUCGCAGAGGUUGAUCCUUUCCUUUUUAAUUGGCCUGAGGAUCUAUAUUUCAUCAUAAUAAAUAAUGUUGUAUCUUCUAAUUUCUAAAAUUGUAGUCGGCCAUGAGAUGUUUGAAGACAAAUUGUGAAUUUUAAUGGCCGGUGGACCAUCUCUUAUGCAAAUUGACUGUAGAAUUAAUUGAUUCGAUCCAAUUUCCAGAUCCUUAACUAGAUUGUGGGAUUACUAACUAAAUCUAAAAAGUGAUGUAUGUAUGGUGUCCUGUGGGCAGUGUGGUGCGAGGCCUUAACUGGCCGUUCUGCCAAUUUUUCAAAAAUUCCCAAGAUGAACUUAUUUGUAGCGUAGGACGUAAUCUCAUUCUCUGCGCUGAAACGGGAUGUGAAGAUGGUGAGCAACUGAUGAGAGUCUGUUAGUGCACUCAGUCUAGGUUAGUACUUUGGAUCAAUGCGUGACCCUAUUGGAUAAAAAUUGGGAAUUUGGCAGAACUGACCUUUAGAUGAAAAUAAAUGGAAUUAGAGCAAAUAAAAAGAAAGCAAUAUCCAGUUAGACUAGUAAAAUUGCAAAGUGUAUGAGUAUAAUUACUUGAUGUAAGUAAUGAGGUUGCAUAGUGUAAUGAUGAUUUCCUCAUGAGGAUAUUGAUGCUGAUAGGUUGCUGUGGAGAAAGUGUGGCAUGGUGUGCUUUUGUUCAAGUGUGCAUGUUUUGUGCACUCUAGCAUUCAUAAAAUGACAUGCUACCCUCUGUAUUUUUUUAUAUUUAUCAGUGAAACCCAGAUAUACGUAUUUUGGCUGAUUCAGCAAUAUACAUUAAUAUAGAAACAUGUUUUUAUCUUAUAUGUAUUGUGAACUUUUUGCACUAUUAAUAUUCAAGUUGGAUGAAUGAUAUAUUAGUGCUAUGUCAUUGGUUAUGGACCGCAAUUGUGAAUUUAUUAGAAUUAGUAAUGGAUAUGUAUCCUCUGAUAUUGGAUAUUUAAGUGCAUUCUUGUUUUUGUGCAUGCAAAUUUUUACAUUUAGAUUACCUUUGCCACCCUUCAUAUAAUCUUUAAUAACACUAUUAAUUUAAUAACUGUCAAAUAAUUUUUUUAAAGAAUAUUAAAAUUAAUAUACGACUUUCUUACAAACCUAAUUCCAGAAAAGUUAGGAUUUUUCGUGAAAUGCCGUAAAAUCAAGAAUGUUAUUUGUUCAUUCUCUUUAACCUUUAUUUAAUUGAUGAAAUUACAAAGAAAUAAUUCCCAAUUUUCUCACUGGACAACUUCAUUUUAUUUUGUAAAUAUGAACAGAUUUUAAUGGCUGCAACACACUCUAAAAAAGCUGGGAUAGAGGCAUGUUUAACACUGUGUCACAUCAGCUUUAAUAUAAUUUUUUUAUUAAAAUGUUUAUGUCACAUGUAUGAUCUGUUUUAGUUUAGUUUUCUGUGUCCCCAUUACCCUGCCUAGUUAGUUUCCAUGGUUUUUUAUUAAUUAGCUCCAUGCCUGUUUCUGUCCUUCUUAAUUACAUUCCCAGUAUUUAAAGCCCGUUCUCCAUUGUUGCCUGGAGCAACAGGACCAUUCGCUGGAGGACCAUACCAGGGACUUUUUAGGCCUGCCAGCGAACGGUCCCAAGGAGGAUUUUGCUGCUUUCAUGGAGUGGGUGCUGGAGGAUAAUGGAUGUCCACUCACCGUCUGCCCCCCUGAGGAUGAUAUUGAGGAGGAUACAGUACCCACGCACCAGAGUGCUCUGGGCAACUGCUCAUCAACUAUGAGAACCACAGUUCCGACUGUAAUGUUCUCUCUAUCUCUGUUCCAUUUUUUGACGUGCCUGUGACGUUGGCAGGAAGUCAUGCACAAAAUGCUUCCUUAAGUGAUCACUGAGAUCACUUCCAACUGAGAUGCUCAGACUCAGGUCUUGAGGUAAGGAGGAGUCAGGUCGCCCCAUGAGCAGUGAAUUCAGUGUUACAGUAUCUAGAUCUAAAUAUCACUAGACAUAACCCUAAGGUCUUGAAUUUAAGAUAUCUUCAACCUCUACUAAGACCGUACUCAAAACCUCUUCAGUGACAAACUGAGUGCCUAGCAUGAUUCGUAGGGCUAUUUUUACAGACCUCACUUCUCUUUCCUAGGACCCUUCAAAGUGAGGUGCACUGGAAGGAUUAAAGUAGAACCUGAUCUGUUCUUUAGCUAGUCGAUCGCUGAGGGUGCUUUGCAUCUGACUGAAAGCUUCCUCCAAUUCACUACUCUCCCCUCUGAAAUUGGUUCCCUGAUCAGACAGAAGCUCGUAGGGCUUUUCCCUAUGUGAAAUAAAGUGUCUGAGGGACAACAAAAAUUAAUCAUUGUCCAUAUGGUCCAGAAAGUCAAAGUGGAUGACUCGAGUGGUGAGGCAUUUAUAAAGAAUACCCCACCUUUUCUCUGUGCAAUGACCCACUUUUAUUGUAAAGGGACCAAAACAAUCAACCCCAGGGGAGUAUAAGUGUGGUUUGAAUAACCUAAGACUGGAAGGUGGAAUGUCUGAUAUCCUUGGAGUUUCUGGUCGGUCCCUUUACUUUUGACAUGCAGGACAGUAACACUGAUGUUUCUUCACUGCCUCUCAGCAUACACCCUUCUAGGUCCUGAAUGAAGUAACUGGGUGUCAUAAUGCUUAAUAAUGAGUUUCGCCAAUGGAUGAGCAUAAUACCGGUUUCUUAAACUCCUGAAAUUUAUCAGGGGUUUGACAAUCGGCUGCUUUGGGCCAACUGCACCUGGGUUGUUUCAAGAAGGCUGGACCCUGCCUCCAGUGAGUUUCUUUAGCCAACAAGUCAGUGUCAAGCCUUGUGUAAUAUUAUCGGCAGGAUAAGUCAGGAUUUUGGGUCAGACCACUCUUGUAUUUCAAUUACUCUGACUGCCACAGCCACAGCCAAGCGAGGACAGUGGUAGAAUCAGUCCAAUAUAAAAAAUGGAUAUCCAAAUUCAGCAUCCUGUCAGUGCAGCACAGAGCUCUAAGUGUGAGAUGGAGUCACCUCCGUACUCAAUUCCACAGACCCAUAGGCUCUAUCAGAAGCAUCACAAAAUACAUGAAAUCUGAAACUCUUGAUUGCAUGCUGGGAGCUGGAGCUCUAGCAUCUCAACUGAGAGAUCUGUGACAAGUGAGUGAACUCAUUCUCCCACUGUUGCCAAGCAGCAAGGAGUUUAACAGGGAGGCAAGGGUUAUCCCAGCGUCGUUUCUUGUCCCAAAGCAGUUGCACAAUAACCUUAGCCCUGGCAGUGAAAGGAAUCAGAUACUCAGGGGGAUUAUAUUGCUUUGCAAGUGUGCAGUAGAUCUUGUGCAUGGUUGUUUCACCUUCAUCUUUCUGAUAUGGCUUUUAUGCCAAAGUGUCAGAUUUGCAGUGCCAUAUCAGUCCAAAGGUACAUUCCUGGAGAUUAACUGUUUCUUGAGUAAGCCAAAUCUCGUUGCUCAUUGAUUUCAGCUCAGAAGAAAAGUGGCAAAUGACCAUAGGAACAUUACUGGGCCAUUUAUUGCAACUCAUCCACUCUCCAUUAGAUGGUGCUGUAAUCUGUUUACUAGUUUCUUGGCCUCUUCUUCACUCAGGACACUUUUUAGACAGUUGUCAGAAAUUGUUUCCAACAGAUUAAUGCACAUCUUCUGUGGGCUCAAAGUAGUUCCCUACAUGCGACUGAAGGGCAAAUGUAUCACAGUAGGGGUAGAGCAAGGACAGCUACCUUCAGCACAUCAAAGGGGAAAGUGACUCUUUCCAGAGCGUAUCGAUUGACUCCAUCCACAUUGACCCUUAUAGUCUUGUCUUCCAGAAUGUGGAGGGCUUCUGCAUCUUGACCCAAGCAUGUGACGACCUUAUCAGACCAAUAAGGCAGGAUGUCCAGUUUCCACAGCUUUUCAACCUGGUUAAAGGGUUCAGAAUCUGGUGUCCCACAAGAAACAAAGAAACAUUCCUGCGGCUGGAGACGAGGACAUAGGAACCUUGAUGGACUUUGCAAUGUCCACCCAAGUCUCGUAUGCACAGCUGCUGGUGCUCCUUUAGGUCCCAACAUCAUAGGCUCCACAGGUGUGAUCAAAUGGGAAUAGUCUGAACCAAUAAACACUAAUGGUUGUGCAUUGAUUUAUAUCAUGUAGGGGCAGAUCUCUAAGGUUGCGAUUUACUUGCUGCAAAUUAGUGAUGGGAUAAGUAUGUUGGACGAGACCCAGCUCUUUUGUCAGAAAGGCUUCAUGAUGUGGAAUGAACUGCCAGGUCUGCCAUGAUCUGCCAUGAUCUGAAGAGCUAUAGAGAAGGACAUUGAACAUCCAUGGAUGGUGUGUAACUCCUGCCUCACAGUGCAAAGGACUAGGUCUUCAACUGUACCUUGAAGGCCUAAACGUUGGGCUGCCUCAUGCAGCAGAAUCGUUCUCUCAGAUCCAUCAUCCAGUACCGCAUAGGUCUCUAGUGACUUGUCAUCAUUCCGAAUCACAACCCGGCUUAAAUUAAGUAGCACAAAGUCUGGGAAGUGGAACUUGCUAGAUGUGCACUCCCUUCUGUCUCUUUGAUGUUACCUUUACUGCUAGAUUCAGAGUUGGCAUUAACAUCAAGAAGAGCUUCAAGAUGUCUCCUAUAACAUCUCUUGUACUUAGCUUUCAACGUACACUUUGAGGUCUGAUGACUUUGUCCAUAUCUCCAGCAUCUGUGGCCCAUUUCGAUCCAAUUUUUAAUUGCUCCUUGGUCAAGAGCUUAAAGUUCGAGCAUUAAUUUAUGUUAUGCUGGAUGGAAUCGUAGAAAGGACAAUACCCUUUGGGCUUCUCCUGAACCUUAUCUGAGGACAGUGACCCUGUCUUUGAAUUCUCUGCUGACACUCCCUUCUGCUCUCCCCCAUGCAGGACAGUAGUCACCUUUCAAUCCAUAAAUCCAGUCUUUUUAUCUUUAGGAUUAAGCGUAUCACGAUCUGGGUAGGUACAGUACUGAGUUCCGUCCACCUGCAAAUGAACCUCAUAUUCAAACCAGUCAUCCAAAUCAAGCAGAGUAAGAAUCGGAGUCUGAAGAGAGUUAAUACAUUUAUUUUAGGUUGGCUCUUUGCUUGAAAGGCAACUUGGCUAAGAGACGAGAUAUAUGAGAACCACACUGCAGCUCAGUACAACCUGGUCUACCCAACUGAUUCAACAUUCCAACUAAGGCAUGAACACAAAGAGUUGAUGCCUUGAAAUCUUUGACAUCACCACUUUUGAUAUUGGAUCCAUCCAUCAACCUGGCUAUCCGCUGCAAUGCCAAAUGAUGUGGUUGCCCAUACAUGUCAGUAAGUGCUCGCAUAGUGUCACUAAAGGGAGAAUGACUGUGACUGUAAGGCAUCCUACAAUUUCAAAUUAUCCAUGAGUAUUUGAAACUUAAAAGAUUCAGAAAUGUCAUAAGGCAGAAUAUUGAAAGCUAGCUUAAGUCUGGGAAAACCCUUGUGGAUCAUCAUGAAUGAAAUCCGGGAUUAUGGGUGUAGACCCACAAUAUUACACUGGCAAUGGGUGCCAGGGAUGGUUAGGAUCUUGAUCCAAAAAUAAAUAUGAGUGAUCAGACAGAUACAUCUGUUCGUUCCCAUUAUAGCAGCCAGUCCUCUAGUUCUGUUGAAGAUAAGGACUAGAAUGAUCAAGUAAGCCAGUUUUCUGUGAAGAACGCAUUCGAUCCCCAAAGCGUGGAUCAUGAAGAUUUCUAACAGGCCCAUACUCUGGAUGUGAAUGACAAGUAUGCGCAUCUGCAGGUAAACAUCUUAAAUCUUGAGGGGUGUGAAACGGCGGAUUUAACCGCAACAACAUGGCAUCAUCAGACUGACCAUAAAGAGAAUCAGACAGACGCUGCUGCAAACCACGGAACAUAAGCAGCAUGGCCAGGAAUAUGCUGUGGAGAAAUAUUCCCACUAUUAGGGGGUUUAUUUGAAUGUAACCUGAAUUGAAUUGGCUAUCACUCAGUCUGCCUUCACUCUUUAGGAGAUUAGUAAGAUCCUCAGUGAGAUCUUGAUGACUAUCACAACAUGUGUGCAGGGACUCAUCCUUAGGGGACACCGAAAGAUCAUGUUCAGACUGGACAUGAUUUUCAUAAUCCUGAGGUGUGGUCAACAUCCCAGAAGCCAUUAGUGUGGAAGAUACUUCUUCCACACCAAAAGAACACUGCAGAGGUGACAAAACCUGUAGUGGAGCUAACACAGGUGAACUAGCAAUUAUCGCUGAAAUAAAAUGCACAUCUUGCUGCAAUUGCUUGCUCUGCUUCACGAAUACAAGUGAGAACAUCAGCAUUUGUUACAGCAUCAACCUGCUCAUCUGCGAAUGUAAGAUGUCUCUGAGGAUAACUAACCUCAUAUUCCUGAAGAUACAGUGGUUGUUGAGCAUUUCUAUGUGGCCGGACCAUGUCACCCUCUACCAUUUUCUCUCUGGAUCUGGACAUCAUUGCUGAGACGGUUAUAGCAUCAGACUCGAAGGACCAUUAAAUGUUUGAAAGGAACUGUCUUGCACCAAUUAAUAUUAUGGUGCCAUCAGUCUCAGUGGGUCGAUUACCACAGUGGAUGUCCAAUGACCAUGAGAGAAAUGUAGAGCAGUCAGUUGUACUAAUUUACCCUUUAAGUUGUUGAAUAGCAAUAAUCAUAUAUACUGUGUGCACAUUCAUAGUCAAAGAAAUCACAAAAAUGCAAAGAAAACAUCCAUAUAAAGAGUGUAAGCAAAACAUUAAACAAAUAAAGGAAUUAUUUCAACAGAUGCAAGCUUUAAGGAUACAUUUGUCACCUGGUUUCACAAUUAGAUAGUCAAAAACAGGUGCAACAGUCUGUGUUGGUCUCUACAGUUCCUUUAAGAUGUUUGUUGUCAGGAUAGCGAUAUGAAACUGGUCUUAGGCUGCAGUCUCAGGUCCUCUGAUGCACAAUGAAUUCUCAGAGAUGACAAAUACCAGAGUAUACAAGUAUAUGUGUAUUACUGAAUAAUUAUCUUGUUGAUCUGUUUGACUCUCGAAAGUGGUUCUAUAAUAGACAAAAUAAACUUAAUCAGUAAUAGAAAACUGCAUAAAUGUGUUAUGAACACUAGCUACACAAUAGAAAUGCUGAGUCAUUACAGUCACAUAAUGGGCGAUCAUGUUCACCACUAAUAUCUCUCUUAAUCAGGUAACUACGCACUCAUAUUACAUAAAUAUAAUGCAGAAGCAGAACAUCAAGUUAAACAGUGAAUAAAUGACAUGAUAAUAGUAUAAUGAACACUCAAAUGAAACACACAUUUUCCAAUGGUGCACAUUAAAGAAUCAUCACAAACUAAACUUCUGCGAGAAGUUUGGGAUAAUUAAUCCUCAUCCACGGCCAAUCAAGAUAACAAUUUUCUCUCCUACAGUUCACAAAGUGAAGGUGCUGCAGAAAGAGACUUCAGCUUAUUUUGCUGCUUUACAAGUGAGAUUGCAGGACCACUACUUUCACUCUGCCGUUCCCGAACUGAACUGAUUUACAGCGCGUUCGCUGAAUAAACCAUGACUCCUUAAUUCAAUUUUAAAGACCAACAUAAUAGCUGUACAGCACUUAUAAUAAAAGGAACACAAACUGAAGAUGAGCUUUUUUUAAGGUUUCUCUGCAUUUCCUGAAUCUUUUCACAACAUUAUGUAUGAUAGUUGGGGAAAGACCGAAAUUCUUUGUAAUUUUGCAUUGAGGAAGGUAAUUUUUUAUUUGUUUUACACUUCUCUCAUGAAAUUUGGCACAAUAUGAUGAGCCAUGAUCCAGCUUUGCUUGCAAAGACUAAGAUGCUCCAAAAGAUACUCUCACCUAUUACCAGUUCACCUGCUUAUUGUGAACUGUUUCAAAAGUUUAAUUUGGAUGUUCAAUAACAUUUUCACUUUUAUUUUGCCUCCGUCCAAACUUUUCUUGGAGUGUGUUGCAGUCAUUAAAAUCAAAAUUUGUUUAUAUUUACAAAAUGCAUUUAAGUUGGACAGUGCAAACUUUGGAAAUCUUUUCUUUGAACUUAGUUAGAGAGAAUGAACAAAUCACAGAUUAUACAUUUUAUUUCUAAAUUUUAUUUCAUUUUACAAAACAUCCCAAUUGACCUUUGGAUCAAUUCAGUCAUGUAGUGCGGAGAGUUUGCGCUGUGCACUCUGUGUGGUUUUAAAUGCCUAAAAAUAGGUCUUUUUAUUGUGUGAGUGGCCAGAGCAAGCUCUCUCAUCCUCUGUGAUCUUUGCCAGGGGUCGUGUAAUGCUCCUUAAUGUGCUCGUAAAUCAUAGCUGGUCAGGCCAUGCACAUAAGAAUGUAAAGAAUCCAACACAGCCUCCAUCUAUCUCUCUCUCUUCUUCUCUCUUCAAGUUAGUCCAGUAAAUCUUUUCCUCCUGAACACACAAAGAGGAGUUUCUCUGCAGCCGAUUUUCUGCAAAUUAAUUACAUACUGAGCUCAAUGAUGGAUUUAGGAAUGUAGUGGACUCGUUGUCCUGUUCUCUUUACCGUGAACUAAAGCUCAUACAGUGCUUUGUUUGAAUUAGAUCUGGAUCCUUCUUAGUUUACAGGCUGAUUUCCCAUCUGGGGCUGCAUCACACAAGCACUGCAAGACAUCUAUUAUAAAAUGUUGCUCAGUGGUCAAUCUAAUAACAAGUGCGUGAACCUCUUAUGCCCCUUUGAACUUCAAUUACUGAAUUUAUCUUGUUACAAUAAUUCAGUCAUUGUUCAUAAUUCAUAUGAAUUAAUCUUGGAUAAGAUGGUUCAUGCAAGGCCGUAUCCAACUUAGACAUUGAGAUAUAUAUAUAUGUGUGUGUGUGUGUGCGUGUGUGUGUGAGUGUGUGUGUGUUAUUAUGUCAUAAUCUAUUUAUUUAUAUGUACAGUAUGGAUGCUGUGUAUCCUUUAUUUACAACAUAUGCAGAAAGGUAAUAUCCAGGAGCAUAUAAGUAUAUAUAUAUUUAGCAGAUGCUUUUAUCCAAAAGCAGAGUCCAAAAAGUCUUGGGAAGUAGUGGCCUAGAGGUUAGAGAUUCUGACUCCUAACCCUAGGGUUGUGGUUUUGAGUCUUGGGCUGGCAAUACCACAACUUAGGUGCCCUUGAGCAAGGCACCGAACCCCCAACUGCUCCCCGGGUGCUGCAGCAUAAAUGGCUGCCCAUUGCUCCGGGUGUGUGUUCAUGGUUUGUGUGUGUUCACUGCUGUGUGUGUGUGCACUUUGGAUUGGUUAAAUGCAGAGCAUGAAUUCUGAGUAUGGGUCACCAUACUUGGCUGAAUGUCACAUCAAAAGAGGAAAAAACUAUUUGUCAUAUAGAGAAUAAUUAUUAUUUUUUUAUUUGAUUUGAUUUUUUAGGAGCGUUCAUGUGUGUAUAUAGAAAUGUGUAUAUUUCUGUAUGAUAUAUUAUUAAAAAAAUCUAUAUUUUUAUUAUAUUACAUUUUACAUUUUGUUAUAUAUGCACACACACACACUUGUAAUUUUAUUAUAUAUUUAUAUUUUAAAUGAUAUAUAUUAAAUAUAAACAUUUUCACAUUUUUAUAAAAUAUGUAUUCAAUUGCAGACUGUCAAGCCUCUGCAAUUGAUCCAGAAUGCAGCAGUGAGGGUUGUCUUCAAUGAGCCAAAAAAGCUUACGUUACUCCUCUCCUCAUCAGGUUACACUGGCUACCAGUAGCCACUCGCAUCAGAUUCAAGGUACUGAUGCUUGCCUACAAGACGACCACUGGCACGGCACCAACAUACCUAAACUCGCUGGUUAAAUCCUAUGUGCCCUCCAGAAGUUUGCGCUCUGUAAGUGAACGACGCCUUGUGGUGCCAUCCCAAAGAAGUUCAAAAUCACUCUCACGGACCUUUUCCUGGAUUGUGCCCAGCUGGUGGAAUGACCUCCCAAUCUCAAUUCAAUCUUCAAUUCACUCAUUUUAAAAAAACAUCUAAAGACUCAUCUUUUUUGCCAGCACUUAACCAACUAAUACUAGCACUUUUCCUUCUUUUCUUGUCUUUCCAUUUCAUUAAAAAUAAAAAACCUGGCAAUGUGUUCUGUACUAGACUAACUGAGACUUGUCAUGGCACUUGUAUACUGUUGUUGUUCUCUUGUUGGUCUGAUUGCUUCUAUUGUUCUCAUUUGUAAGUCACUUUGGAAAAAAGAGUCUGCUAAAUGAUUAAAUGUAAAUGUAUUAAAAAA